GAAAAAGUGUUAAAAUUGGAUUCACCGACCAUAAAUUCAGUCGUAGACAGAUUAGAGUUUCAAAUUUUUCAAAGUUUCAGUGCACCCCUUUUCCCCUUUCCCUGUCAAAUCUUGACCCUAACUCUCUCACGACUAAAAAGCAUCAGUUUGCUUAUCACACACUCAUCAUAGGAGUCGGAUGUCGCACUUGCCCCCCAAACUCCCCGCCCAGUUAACGCUCCUUUUUGCUCGAUAUUCUCGUGGCGUGUUGUUUCGUUACUUUGUUUUCCUUGGCAAACUGUGAUGAAGAGAACUACAUUCCCUCGAAGACAGCAGCGGAUGUAACAGGCUCACACUUUGUGCUCUGUCCCCUUCGAUCUCUAGCUGUUCAUGAUCUGAGUCCUGUGGAUCUAUGCAGAUGAACCCGACCACAAACCAACUUCCGCCCUCCCAGACCUCUGUCACCAACAUCGCCACCCCCUUGUCCUUUCUGUUGUAAAUAUGUCCUAAGGAUGUGGAUUUUCCAAAAAGGCCGCCUGCCCCGCCGACCCCUCCCUUAUCUUCCCGUGCCCACCCCCCACUGUUGGAAUCUCACUGUGUUUUCUGUUCGCCUCCUUGGUUUUCGUCAGUUUUUUGAGAUUUUUGCCGCAUUUUUCUGUUGUCUAAAGCAGUGGUGUGAGUUGACGAGUAGGACUAAGUUGGAUGUUAAAAAGAUGGGAUGAAGAGGUCUUGAGAAAAAUAUACAAAAAAAAUGAAGCUUGAAUUGAGAAAGGGUUUCAAAUAUAGAGAAAAAAAUUAUGAUAAAGUUGUCAUAUUGUCAUACUAGAGAUGCUUUAGUUUGCUAAUUUACUUUCUUUUUUUUCUACAAAAGACUUGGAUGAAAUUAUUUAUAAAAUGCGUCCCACGAGUCAUGAUCUUUUUUGGACGUAAAACAAAUACAUUUAUUAACAUUUUGUUCAAAAGAAAAUAAAUAUAAAUUAUGUUAAACAUUA